rnacentral:tRNA from 1 species
CCGAUGAAGGGGCUCGAUAGAAGACUGUCGCUCAUUCUGGAGCACAUGCUUAGAUUCAGAUCAUGCUCUAGUGCGAGGUGGU